rnacentral:piRNA from 1 species
AGAAAUGCGGAUAUGGGACUGAG